UCCCAGUUAAUCUGGGCAGUCUGACUUGAGUGCUCGGCGAAUGCCGGUGGCAACAAAUCAUAAGGGUUGCGCUCGUUGCGGGACUUAACCCAACAUCUCACGACACGAGCUGACGACAGCCAUGCAGCACCUGUGUAAAGCGCGUGUUUCCACGCUGCCCGGCUUUCACCGGGGUUACAAUACAUGUCAAGCCCAGGUAAGGUUCUUCGCGUUGCAUCGAAUUAAGCCACAUACUCCACCGCUUGUGCGGGUCCCCGUCAAUUUCUUUGAGUUUUAGUCUUGCGACCGUACUACCCAGGCGGCACGUUUAACGCGUUAGCUCCGGCACAGGGAGGGUUGCCCCCCACACCAAACGUGCACCGUUUACAGCUAGGACUAC
rnacentral:misc_RNA from 1 species